rnacentral:rRNA from 1 species
GCAUAUCAAUAAGCGGAGGAAAAGAAACCAACAGGGAUUACCUCAGUAACGGCGAGUGAAGCGGUAACAGCUCAAAUUUGAAAGCUAGCUCUUUUAGGGUUCGCAUUGUAAUUUGUAGAAGAUGCUUCGGGUGUGGCCCCGGUCUAAGUUCCUUGGAACAGGACGUCAUAGAGGGUGAGAAUCCCGUAUGUGACUGGGUGCUUUCGCUCAUGUGAAGCUCUUUCGACGAGUCGAGUUGUUUGGGAAUGCAGCUCAAAAUGGGUGGUAAAUUUCAUCUAAAGCUAAAUAUUGGCCAGAGACCGAUAGCGCACAAGUAGAGUGAUCGAAAGAUGAAAAGCACUUUGGAAAGAGAGUUAAACAGUACGUGAAAUUGUUGAAAGGGAAGCGCUUGCAACCAGACUUGCGCGCUGAUGAUCAUCCGGGCUUCUGCCCGGUGCACUCGUCUGCGCUCAGGCCAGCAUCGGUUUCGGUGGUGGGAUAAAGGCCUUGGGAAUGUAGCUUCUUUCGGGGAGUGUUAUAGCCCUCGGUGCAAUGCCGCCUACCGGGACCGAGGACCGCGCUUCGGCUAGGAUGCUGGCGUAAUGGUUGUAAGCGACCCGUCUUGAAACACGGACCAAGGAGUCUAACAUCUAUGCGAGUGUUUGGGUGUCAAACCCAUACGCGUAAUGAAAGUGAACGGAGGUGAGAACCCUUAAGGGUGCAUCAUCGACCGAUCCUGAUGUCUUCGGAUGGAUUUGAGUAAGAGCAUAGCUGUUGGGACCCGAAAGAUGGUGAACUAUGCGUGAAUAGGGUGAAGCCAGAGGAAACUCUGGUGGAGGCUCGCAGCGGUUCUGACGUGCAAAUCGAUCGUCAAAUUUGCGUAUAGGGGCGAAAGACUAAUCGAC